rnacentral:rRNA from 1 species
GGGUUAAGUGUUAGCAAAGGAAAGGGGAGAUCAAGCUAAACUUGAAUAGUCUAGCGCGCCACUGGCGCCGGGGGAGCAGCAACAGCACUGGUGGCAACAGCAGCAGCGCGUCCUUCUGCAGAUCCUCCUAGCGGUGCAAACCGAAGAAGGUAAGUCCCUUGGUAGAGCUCGGCCCCACAGCGUAUCGGCGUCGGCAGCAGCGGAAGAAGCAAGCCGCCGGGUGUAGAGCAGCGGGGUUGGCGACGAGACCGGGCAGGGGCUGGAGGGAUCGGAGCAGCAACGCGAGUCCUGCUACCUCGGGUCCUCGCUCUGCGGUGGCAGCUGCUGCUGAUGAUGAUGAGCCCUCCACGGAUGAUGAUGCACGUCGGGCGACUGCUGCUGGUUCUCAUCAAAUCCUCCUAGGGUCCGUCCUCCGUACGCGGAGAAAGAUAGACAUAGGGUCAAACACGAUCGGAAGAAUUCCGUUUGAACAAAUUGAAUACAGACAUGAGUCUAUAACAACGAAGGCGACUGAGCAGAUACUAGCUCGAGAACAUAAGCUCGGGAGCUCCGGGGACCGAACAUUA